rnacentral:lncRNA from 1 species
CAAUCUUAGCUCUCGCCAUCGUCUAAAAUUGUCAAUGCGGUUCCUUCAAACCCUUUCUCAAUCAAAAUUCCAAAAUACUUAAUUCCUAUCUUAACCUUUUGCAAAUAAAGAUGGAAAUGGAACAUGGUGUAUACCAUGCACUCCUGAGGCUAGGAUUCGAGAUGUACAUCUCGCCAAUCCUAGUUCUCGCCAUCACUCAAAGCACAUCCAACCAAUCAAACUCUUUUUCCUC